rnacentral:lncRNA from 1 species
AUACACAGCUCUUAGCAAAUAUGAAGGCUAUAUCCACAAGAUUUUUUAUGAUGCCCAUCCGUGAGUAUACAUGUGACUAUAUACCAAGAGAAGCAAGUGCCUGAGACCUGAAACACCAUUGCGAUUAUUAAAGGAUUCAUGUUUUAACAGUGAACCACAACCUGACAGCACCAGUCUGUUACUAAGAAUUACUUGCUGUAGAAAAGCUGAACACAGAAUGAAAAAAUGUGGGACCAAACCUAGGAAUUUCCAGAAAAAAAAUUCUUUCUCUGAAAAUAUAUGGGAAAGUAUAUGGGAAACCUGGACUUACAAAACAUCAUGAAAGAAAAGAAUUAAGGUGAAUAUAACUCCCUUUUAAUGUAAAAUUUCCUCUAUUUUGCAGGUGUUUCAUUGCACAUGUUCCUACUCAUUUCCAUGAGACCUCUUACAGAGU